rnacentral:rRNA from 1 species
GGACCCGCACAAGUAGUGGAGCAUGUGGUUUAAUUCGAAGAUACGCGCAGAACCUUACCAACACUUGACAUGUUCGUCGCGACUCUGAGAGAUCAGAGUUUUCGGUUCGGCCGGACGAAACACAGGUGCUGCAUGGCUGUCGUCAGCUCGUGUCGUGAGAUGUUGGGUUAAGUCCCGCAACGAGCGCAACCCUCACUUUUAGUUGCCAUCAUUAAGUUGGGCACUCUGAAAGAACUGCCAGUGAUAAGCUGGAGGAAGGUGGGGAUGACGUCAAGUCCUCAUGGCCCUUACGUGUUGGGCUACACACGUGCUACAAUGGUAUCUACAACAGGAAGCAAAACGGCGACGUUAAGCAAAUCCUUAAAAGAUACCUCAGUUCGGAUUGCACUCUGCAACUCGAGUGCAUGAAGCUGGAAUU